rnacentral:rRNA from 1 species
UACGUAGGGGGCAAGCGUUGUCCGGAGUUACUGGGCGUAAAGGGCGCGGAGGCGGUCUGCGGCGUCGGCGCUGAAAGCGCCCCGCUUAACGGGGCGAGGCGUGCCGAUACGCGCAGGCUCGAGGCGAGCAGAGGGUGGUGGAAUUCCGGGUGGAGCGGUGAAAUGCGUAGAGAUCCGGAGGAACGCCAGUGGGGAAGCCGGCCACCUGGGCUCGUCCUGACGCUGCGGCGCGACAGCGUGGGGAGCAAACCGG